UACGUAGGGUGCGAGCGUUGUCCGGAAUUAUUGGGCGUAAAGGGCUCGUAGGCGGUUUGUCGCGUCGGGAGUGAAAACGCCGUGCUUAACACGGCGCUUGCUUUCGAUACGGGCAGACUAGAGGUAUGCAGGGGAGAACGGAAUUCCUGGUGUAGCGGUGAAAUGCGCAGAUAUCAGGAGGAACACCGGUGGCGAAGGCGGAUCUCUGGGCCUUACCUGACGCUGAGGCGCGAAAGCUAGGGGAGCAAACAGG
rnacentral:rRNA from 1 species